rnacentral:rRNA from 1 species
UGGGGAAUUUUGGACAAUGGGCGAAAGCCUGAUCCAGCAAUGCCGCGUGUGUGAAGAAGGCCUUCGGGUUGUAAAGCACUUUUGUCCGGAAAGAAAUCCUUGGCUCUAAUACAGUCGGGGGAUGACGGUACCGGAAGAAUAAGCACCGGCUAACUACGUGCCAGCAGCCGCGGUAAUACGUAGGGUGCAAGCGUUAGUCGGAAUUACUGGGCGUAAAGCGUGCGCAGGCGGUUUGCUAAGACCGAUGUGAAAUCCCCGGGCUCAACCUGGGAACUGCAUUGGUGACUGGCAGGCUAGAGUAUGGCAGAGGGGGGUAGAAUUCCACGUGUAGCAGUGAAAUGCGUAGAGAUGUGGAGGAAUACCGAUGGCGAAGGCAGCCCCCUGGGCCAAUACUGACGCUCAUGCACGAAAGCGUGGGGAGCAAACAGGAUUAGAUACCCUGGUAGUCCACGCCCUAAACGAUGUCAACUAGUUGUUGGGGAUUCAUUUCCUUAGUAACGUAGCUAACGCGUGAAGUUGACCGCCUGGGGAGUACGGUCGCAAGAUUAAAACUUAAAUGAAUUGACGGGGUCAUAGCUG